UACGGGGGGAGCAAGCGUUGUUCGGAUUUACUGGGCGUAAAGGGCGCGUAGGCGGUCAGCACAAGUCAGUUGUGAAAUCUCCGGGCUUAACUCGGAAAGGUCAACUGAUACUGUGCGACUAGAGUGCGGAAGGGGCAACUGGAAUUCUCGGUGUAGCGGUGAAAUGCGUAGAUAUCGAGAGGAACAUCAGUGGCGAAGGCGGCUGCCUGGCCCAAUACUGACACUCAGGUGCGACAGCGUGGGGAGCAAACAGG
rnacentral:rRNA from 1 species